rnacentral:rRNA from 1 species
CGGUUGAUCCUGCCGGAGGCCACUGCUAUUGGGGUUCGACUAAGCCAUGCGAGUCUAUGGACUUCGGUCCAUGGCGGACGGCUCAGUAACACGUGGCUAACCUACCCUCAGGUGGGGGAUAACCUCGGGAAACUGAGGAUAAUACCCCAUAGGGGAAGAGGUCUGGAAUGAUCCUUCCCUGAAAGGACAUCCGCCUGAGGAUGGGGCUGCGUCCGAUUAGGUAGUUGGUGGGGUAAUGGCCCACCAAGCCUACGAUCGGUACGGGCCUUGAGAGAGGGAGCCCGGAGAUGGGGACUGAGACACGGCCCCAGGCCCUACGGGGCGCAGCAGGCGCGAAACCUCCACAAUGCACGAAAGUGCGAUGGGGGAACCCCAAGUGCCUAUGCACAGCAUAGGCUUUUCCCAAGUGUAAAUAGCUUGGGGAAUAAGGGCUGGGCAAGUCCGGUGCCAGCAGCCGCGGUAACACCGGCGGCCCGAGUGGUGGCCACUCUUAUUGGGCCUAAAGCGUCCGUAGCCGGUCCAGUAAGUCCCUGUUUAAAUCCUACGGCUUAACCGUAGGGCUGGCAGGGAUACUGCUGGACUUGGGACCGGGAGAGGACGAGGGUACUCCAGGGGUAGCGGUGAAAUGCGUUGAUCCCUGGAGGACCACCUAUGGCGAAGGCACUCGUCUGGAACGGGUCCGACGGUGAGGGACGAAAGCCAGGGGCGCGAACCGGAUUAGAUACCCGGGUAGUCCUGGCCGUAAACUCUGCGGACUAGGUGUCGUCUGGGCCUCGGGCCCAGGCGGUGCCGAAGGGAAGCCAUUAAGUCCGCCGCCUGGGGAGUACGGUCGCAAGACUGAAACUUAAAGGAAUUGGCGGGGGAGCAC